UGGCAUAACUGCAGCUCACUGCAGCCUUGUCCUCCUGGGCUCAAGCAAUUGUCCACCUCAGCCUUCACGGUAGCCAGGACUAAAGAUUUGUUUCGUGUCCAUUUCGGCUGAAAUAUACAAAUCACUGAUGGCAGAUAGAGACGUGAGCUGCUCUUCUAUAGCAGGUCCAGCCUUGCUCCAAAGCCAGGGGUCACAAAGAGGAUGCUUCUCAGUAAGUCAUUUGCUUGGAAAAAUAUUACAGAUUUCUCAAGAAAGCUGUGGUAUAGUGGGAUCUCUCAUGCAGGAGCCUUGGUGGGGCAAUGUGAGAAAGGAAUUCAGGAACUUCUCUGGUCCCUCUCAUUAAUUACCUUCCUUUUAAUGAAUCUAAAAGCACAGUCUUGGGCAUCUGCUGGGCUUGGGCUCACAACUCUACUACUUCAAGGUCAAGGUGGGCAUUGACCUUGAAGCUAUGUGACCUUAGGCAUUUUCUCAAUCAAUCUAAGCUUCAGUUUUCUUCUAUAAAAUAUGACCAA